UGAAAAUAUUCUAACAUAGGACAAUCUAUAUGUAUCUUGGGAAGGCCCGUUUCCACUUUAAAAGUUUAAACCUCUAUUUCAAGAAAUAAAUGAUGUAAACCACUAAAAAAUUCUUAAUAUAAUAUCUAUAGAUGGCGAAGAAAAUGUAGGCACGAAACGACCAAUUGAUUUCUCGGCGUUGGUUACUAUCGCUCUUUUCCAAUACUCAAGAAAUUAUAUGAUGUUGACGAAACCUAGAACAUAUGCUGCUGAGAUGAACGAAGAGUCUAGUAAAUAGAUGAUCUAAGAGAUCCCCAAAUGUUCAAAAUUCCUGAUAGAAAAAUACAUUCUGCC